AUUGAACGCUGGCGGCAUGCUUUACACAUGCAAGUCGAACGGCAGCACGGGUGCUUGCACCUGGUGGCGAGUGGCGGACGGGUGAGUAAUACAUCGGAACGUGUCCAGAAGAGGGGGAUAACGCAUCGAAAGAUGUGCUGAUACCGCGUAUGCUCUGAGGAGGAAAGUAGGGGAUCGAAAGACCUUACGCUUUUGGAGCGGCCGAUGUCUGAUUAGCUAGUUGGUGGGGUAAGGGCCUACCAAGGCGACGAUCAGUAGUUGGUCUGAGAGGACGACCAGCCACACUGGGACUGAGACACGGCCCAGACUCCUACGGGAGGCAGCAGUGGGGAAUUUUGGACAAUGGGCGCAAGCCUGAUCCAGCAAUGCCGCGUGAGUGAAGAAGGCC
rnacentral:rRNA from 1 species